rnacentral:lncRNA from 1 species
AAUAGGCAAAGACCUCUGUCCUCUGGAAGUCUGUAUUUUAGGCCUCUCUCUGGAAGUGUAUGAUCUAGGGAGGAAUCCUAGAAUGCUCAUUACAUGCUUGCUCAAAGCCCUCACCUGCAGGGCUGCUUGUGUUAACAUGCUCUCUAGAGGGCUCAUGGUGGUCUGAUGUCUCUCUACCUGCAAAAUAUCCAGCAACUUAGCACUUUGAAUACAAAAAAGAAAGAAGUUGGUAGUUUUUGCAAAUUGAGGGAAGUAGGAAAUGAUGACAGCAACUGGCCCUCAGUAUCCUCUUUGGACAGGGAAAGCUGUUUGUUGUGCCUAAGAUGGGAAGAGAAAUAACUGGCAUCCCAAACCCUGAAUUCAGUCCUGCCAGCUCUAGGUGACUACCUUGGCCUGCUUGGACUGCUAUAAUGGAUACCAUAGACUGGGUGGCUUAAACAAUAAACAUAUAUUUCACACAGUUCUAGAGGCUGGGAAGUCCAAGAUCUAGGUGCUGACAGAUCUGGUGUCUGGUGAGGGCUCCUCAGUUCCCAUUUGCAAACAUUUGGUCCAUAUGGACAAACACUUAGUCCAUAACAGUUACUAAGAGAACUGACAUUUCCUGAGGACCUAUUAGUUGCCGCACAAGUUAUUUAUGUCAUCUCAUUUAAUCAUCACAGCAGGCCUAAUGAAGUGGGAACUGUUUUUCCAAUUUUAUACAUGAGGAAACUGAGGAACGACUAGUUAAGUAACCUGUCCACAUAGAUUUUAGUCACUGAGCUGGGUUUCAGACCCUGGCCCAUCCCCUGCCACCGCUGAGGUGCCUGCUAACACCCCUCACCUAGGCGGGGGGCACUCAGAGGAAGAAAGUCAGUAGCCCCCCUGUCCUUCUCCACCGUGCUCCCUCAGGAUGCAAGCAGGAAGUCUUGGGCAGGAAGAGGUGGCUCCCCUCAGAGGGACACGGAUGACUAGACUGUCAAUGAGAAGCAAAGAAAAACCAGAGUGGUGAAAUCUGCAGAAGAGAAGGUCCCUUUUAUGCUUUUGAAAAAUUGUGUGGGGUGCUAGUGGCCUCUAAAGUGGUAAGGAAAAUUUUCCAUCAUCCAGACAAAGGAGGUUAAGAAGAACAGCGGCAGAUGUGCAAGAAUAACUACAAUAAUUAGCUAGGGGAACAUAUAUACUGCUAACAUUUUAAACUUUACCCAAACAGGCCAUGCACGGUGGCUCACGUCUAUAAUCCCACCAUUUUGGGAGGUCGAGGUGGGAGGAUUGCUUGAGCUCAGGAGUCUGAGAGCACCUGGGUGACAUAGUGAGAUCCUAUCUCUACAAAAAUGAAUAAAUAAAUAAAAAUUAGCCUAGUAUGGUGGUCCUAGCUACUUGUGUGGCUGGGGUGGGAGGAUCACCUGAGUCCCAGAGUUCAAAGUAGCAGUGAUCCAUGAUCACACCAUUUCACUCCAGCCUGGACUAUAAAGUGAGAUCUAAGAAAGAAGGAAGGAAGGGAAGGAUGGAAGGAAGGAAGGAAGGAGAAAGAAAGAAAGGAAAGAAAGAAAAAGAGAAAGAAAAAGAAAGGGAAAGAAGAAAGGAAGAAGAGAAAGAAAGAGAGAGAGAAAAAAGUACCCAAACCAGCAGUAUCUGAGAGAGGGGAUCUAGCACUAUUCAUUACUAGAGAUCCUGGGUGCUGAAGCUGAGAAGGUUCUCUGUCCCCUUUCCAGGGAUUCUCAGUAAUCCCUGUGGUGGGGGUGGGAAGGCAGAUGACAAGCAACAUUCAUUCUUGGACUUCAAAGAGCUGGGAAGACUGGGACUUCCAAGCACCCCUGGGGCACUGCCUAUGCAAUAUUUGUCAACGACAUUUUCUGCUAAUUAGGCCCCUUAAAAACAAGCAGGGUUGUAAGUGAGGAACAAGGAUCUAUCCAGAAGGGUGGGUGGUCCAUCCUGUGUAAUGAUGGGGCGCUCCAGUCUGUGAAGCGUGACACUCCCUUUAUGUUCCUUCCCUCUGCCAAGAGUAACAAGUGUGUUUCCUACACGAGGAUUAGAAUUUACUGGAAGACCGUGGAAAGCCCUAGCACCAGAGACUGUCCGGCUAACAUGAAUUCCCUCCUGGACUGGUCUCAUUUGGUCUUUUCUGACACCUGGAGCAAACUCUACCCCCACCUUUCCUUUUGUCAAAGGACCCUCUGUAGUCAGAAG